UACGAAGGAGGCUAGCGUUGUUCGGAAUUACUGGGCGUAAAGCGCACGUAGGCGGGUUUGUAAGUAGGGGGUGAAAUCCCAGGGCUCAACCCUGGAAUUGCCUUCUAGACUGCAAGCCUGGAGGUCAGGAGAGGCGAGCGGAAUUCCGAGUGUAGAGGUGAAAUUCGUAGAUAUUCGGAGGAACACUAGUGGCGAAGGCGGCUCGCUGGACUGAUACUGACGCUGAGGUGCGAAAGCGUGGGGAGCAAACAGG
rnacentral:rRNA from 1 species